ensembl:lncRNA
CAACUGGAGGUUAAAAGAAACAACAACAAAAACUUAUAGAUUCAUUUGUUCCCCCAAGUUGAUAAUAGCUAAGAUAUAGCUGACAUCACUUCCUCUCACUCAUGUCAUUAAUGUGUAGCAGAAGCACUUGGUGAAAGAAGUCACGAUGAACACAUUCCUUAGUGCAUCUGUAUGCAUAAUGAUAUUUACAGCUGCCUGUCUUGGUAAAACUGUUCAACAGACGCCUGACAAACUCAUCAAGAAUCAAGAUGAAUCUGCUGUGGUCAUGUGCUCUCACAAGAUAUCAACCUAUUACCAAAUAUUAUGGUACAAACAAAGUCCAGACAUGUUGGGCUUAAAGUUGAUGGGAUAUCUUAAUAAUGAUGCUAAGAAUAAAGAGCCUGAAUUUGAAAACAAGAUCGAAUUGGAGGGAAAUGGGAGAAAUGAUGGCACUCUGAUUAUCAGCAACCUCACACUGACUGACAGUGCAGUGUAUUUCUGUGCAGCAUAUUACACAGUGCUCAGUAUCCUCUCUGUCUGAUACAAAAACCUCUUUUAACCAGCUUGCUUCUGUGAAAGGCAUAUUUAUUUCUCUCCACACCUGUGGGUUUUGAUUCAAUGCCAACACUGAACACAAUAGGUCUAACAAAUAUAGCAAAUAAUGAAGUAAAAAACAAAAACAAAAUAUAUUUAAUCUAAAAUAAUUCUGUAAUUAUUUUGUUGUAAAACGAAUAACUGUUUUGUUGCACUAAUAAUUUCGCCAUUGUGUGUCUGUGUCAAAGUUCCUCGUCCUGUCCUUCCCACUUAAAUUUCACUUUAACAUUCUGUCACUUGUAGGCAGUUUUUGAAUUAUACAUUUUGCUCAUGCAUGAUCAGGUCACAUCAUGUACUGCCAACUAACAUUUUUUAUCAUCACAGAUCAUGAUUUAACCCAUCCAGCCUCAAUGUGUCAGCAUCCAGCUGACACGAUGAGGAGCAAUAUUCUGUUCAUCCUGUUGCUACAUUGUGAAACACAGUGAAGGUAUUCAAAUGCAAUCUCCAUGAAAGACAUUAUAGAAUAAACGAUAAUAGAAACCAAAAGUUCAAAUUACUACAUAAAUAUUUUAGUUUUCUUCUCUGUAUUUAAAUUUGCAGGUAACAGUGAUGUUUCACAAGUUUCAAGUGUUUUAAUGGCAGUAAAAGGGAGUUCUGUUCAACUGAACUGCACACACAAAAAGGAUUCUUGUUUGUCCAGAUGUACUGGUAUCGACAGCGUCCAGGACAAACUAUGACUCUAAUCGUGUUCACAAGCUCUUUGAACAGCAAACAUGACAAAUUUUUAGUCAUUAAAACUUUAGUCAUGUGGAGUCAGAUGAUAGUGCCGUCUAUUUCUGCUCAGUCAGACAGCACACAGUGCAGUGAAGUUUGGCAAGAGUUGAACAAACACAGCUGCAAACAUAAACAUUUACAGUAACAGUGAUCAACAGGGGGCAGUGUGAUUCCAUAAAUGUGAUCACACAAAUCAAUGGUUCAGCCAUGAAUUAUUUUACAGAUGGAUGGAUGCCAAAUCAGCAUUUCUCCACCACCUCAAAGGGUAUGUUACAUACAACAAAGUUGUUUACUGCAGGGUCUAAUGAUAUAAACUUUAUAAACUUUAUGUGCUAUAGAUGCAUAGUGCUUAUGAACUGCUGGGAAAACAGACUUGGAUUAUUGUAUACAUCCGCAAAGUGAUUUGCGUCAUCAACCCAUUUCACAGCAUGAUUUCUCAGACACCAUAAAGAGUGCGCUAAAACUGUAGGAGCUCUAUAAUCGGGCUAUUUUAAAUUUAUAUUUAUAGCAGUUUUUACUGUACCAUCUUUUUUUUUGUCUAUGAAAUAUUACAUGUGUAUGUAUAUUAGGCCUAAUUUAUGUACUACUGUAUGCAAACUCUAAACUGAAUCCAGUCCAAGAACUUUUCUUGACAGAUGGCUAUGUCAUUGAGCUGAACAAUAAAAUUGGUUGUGGUCUGAUGUUUGCGCUGAACUAUUCCUACUUUCAUGUUUCCUGUUUAUACUGCUUUUCCCCUGUACUAUUAUAACCUAUGAUGUCAUUUCCUGUUCAACAAUGGCUUGAUCUUGAAUCUAUUGAAAGUUUGGGACUCACUGUACAGUACCUCAUCGAACUCAACAUGACCAGGGCCAUUAUUUCAUGGAUUCUGUUACUGCUUUGCAGUCAAGGUAUCAAAAGCUCUUACAAUUAUCUCCAUAGUAACGGAAACAAUGUAAAACAAAUUUUGUUAAAUUUUAACUAAAUUAAACUUUUAUUUUUCCACAGGAACAGUAGGUGCAGAUGAUGUUAUACAAAAGCCUAAGAUUCUUUGGGGACACAAGGAUAGUUCUGUUCAUAUGAACUGCACACACAAUAAGGGCUCAACAUACAGACUGAUGUACUGGUACAGACAGCGGCAAGGACAAACUAUGAGACUCAUAGCAUUCACAACCUCUUACACCGAACCAGAAUAUGAAGAUUCUGAGCUGAAUAAAUUUGUGGCCAAUAAAACGGUUGCUGAGAAUGGAUCUCUGACUGUUAACAAUUUGCAGCCGAAUGAUAGUGCCACAUAUUUCUGUUCAGUGAGUGAAUACACAGUGUAUCAAACUCAGGGGAGAGCUGUACAAAAAACAGGUGUCUUAAAAUGAGAGAUAAUUAUUGAUCAACAGGGGGCAGUGUGAUUCAAGAAAUUUUUAGUCUACUCACAAAUGGAGCCGUUUGCAUAAGAGAUUUUAAUGAAUGAUGAUGAAUCAUUAUCACUGUCCACCUUCUGUAAAUCAAAAGCAUGCACAAUCUGAGUCUCUGCAUAUAAGUUCUGAUAUUUAUACACAACUCAUGUGCAGUUUGAAUCUUAUUCUCCCCAUUUUAUUCCUCUUUUCUCCCAGGUUUUAUCAGUUAGGACCCA